UACGUAGGGUCCGAGCGUUGUCCGGAAUUAUUGGGCGUAAAGGGCUCGUAGGCGGUUUGUCGCGUCGGGAGUGAAAACCUACAGCUUAACUGUGGGCUUGCUUUCGAUACGGGCAGACUAGAGUGCGGUAGGGGUGACUGGAAUUCCUGGUGUAGCGGUGGAAUGCGCAGAUAUCAGGAGGAACACCGAUGGCGAAGGCAGGUCACUGGGCCGCAACUGACGCUGAGGAGCGAAAGCAUGGGGAGCGAACAGG
rnacentral:rRNA from 1 species